rnacentral:lncRNA from 1 species
GCCUUCGCGGAGUUGCCGGAGGGUGCGGCCGCCCAGAGCGCACCCCGAGCGCCGGCGAGCGGCGCGGUGAGACCCUCGUGCAGUAGAGACGGAGUUUCACCAUGUUGGCCAGGAUGGUCUUCAACUUCUAACUUCGUGAUCCACGCUGCUGGGAUUACAGGUGUGAGCCACCGCGUGUGGCCUCUGGGCACCUUUUGAAGAGGAACCAGGAGUACGGAAGGAGCAUGAAAGUGGACAAGGAACGUGACCAUUGAAGCACCACAGGGAGGGGUUCAGGCCUCCGGAUGACUGCAGGCAGGCCUGGGUAACAUCCAGCCUCCCACAAGAAGCUGGUGGAGCAGAGCGUUCCCUGACUCCUCCAAGGAAAGGAGACUCCCUUUCCCGGUCUGCUCAGUAACGGGUGCCUUCCCAGACACUGGCGUUACCGCUUGACCAAGGGGCCCUCAAGCGGCCCUUAUGCGGGCAUGACAGAAGGCUCCCCUCUUGCCUUCUAUUCACUUCUCACAAUGUCCCUUCAGCACCUGACCCUAUACCUGCCGGUUAUUCCUAGGUUAUAUUAUUAAUGCAACAGAGUAAUAUUAAAAGCUAAUGAUUAAUAAUGUUUAUAAUAAUGAUGGAUAAUUGUUCAUGAUCA